rnacentral:rRNA from 1 species
GAUGAACGCUGACAGGAUGCUUAACACAUGCAAGUCGAUGGGGAAGUGGUGCUUGCACCAUGGUAACCAUGGCGGACGGGUGAGUAACGCGUAAGGAACUUGCCUGCGGGACUGGGAUAACAGCAGGAAACUGCUGAUAAUACCGGAUAAGGUCAUUAAGCUGCAUAGCUUAGUGAUGAAAGGAGACGCCUGCGGAGAGCCUUGCGUCCUAUUAGCUAGUUGGAGGGGUAACGGCCCACCAAGGCGAAGAUAGGUAGCCGGCCUGAGAGGGUGGACGGCCACAAGGGGACUGAGAUACGGCCCUUACUCCUACGGGAGGCAGCAGUGGGGAAUAUUGGACAAUGGGGGCAACCCUGAUCCAGCAAUUCUGUGUGCACGAAGACGGUUUUCGGAUUGUAAAGUGCUUUCAGCAGGGAAGAAGGAAGUGACGGUACCUGCAGAAGAAGCGACGGCUAAAUACGUG